CUGUGGCGCAACCCUGUUGCUGCAUGUCUACCUUGUAGGCAGUAGGUUUUCGUUUCAUCUCUAAUUUGGCACACCUGAUUCUACUAAUUAGCUGCUCAGCGAGAACUGUUGAAUAAAGUAUGAUUUGACAGGGUUGGUGUGAUAACCUAGAGGACGGGCGAUCUCCAGAAACAGGGUUCCGUAUGGUAAGGUAGGCCGUGUCCUAACGGUUGCCUACAGCUUAGGGAACGUGUACUCAACAGUAAGUGCGCUGUUUCAGACGCGACCAUAGUAACAGUUCAGUGUUCAGAUAACUACGGUUCAGUUACGAGAACAGAAAUCCCACAGUAGAGACAGGCGAGGUCAAAUAUGCUAUGAAUUGUGAACAGGAAGAACAACUACCUUGCCAUUUUGAUCUGCAAGGCGUCCAAAGGACUGAGAACAGGCGAGGAGGAGAAUUAACGGUGAUCGGCACGACUGAAAUGUGAUCUCUGGAGAUAACUUUUGGGGAGUUGGACAUGUCUUGCCACUUUUGCCACUUGAUUCCAGGUCAACAGUGAGUCAACAGCAGGCUGGGAAUGGAGAGAAAAGGCAUGUUGCUCUUGACUGCCUGGAAAACCCAAAGGCAGGCCAGAGAGAAGCUGUACAGAUGAGGGAGAUAAUUGCAUGUGUGGACACCGCCUGGGUACAAAAUACACCUUGCCUUCAUUUCAGAAGAGUAGCUCGGUGGAGGCAGAGGAAUGAUUCACAUCCAUUCCCUUUAAGAGAAUCUACGACCUUAAGAGACUUUUGUUUCAUCGCUUACCAGGGGCAAUAGGAUAUUCUACUGGGCGGGAACAAAUCUGCUGUUCAGGGCUUGAACAAGAAUUCUUCACUUUCUACCUGUAUCAAUGAAAAACAUGACCGAUGUUCAGCCAACCCUGGCGCAGCGGAAGAGAUGAACACGUUCACUGGCACGGCACGGCUGCGGAGGAUUCAGAUGGAGAGCCUGUCAGCGGCGUAUGAUGUGGUGUGUGGGGUGCGAAGUGCCAGGUAGACUGGACACCUGAGCCCGCGCUAACAGGGACUGGAUCCCUGCUCCAGCUGCCAGUCAAGCACCUGCCUCUAUUCCAUAGUUUCUCCUCAAAAGUAAAGCUGAAAAUGCAGGGGAAUACUUCUGAAGCUGGCAGAUGGCUGCGGCACCCCUCCGUCCACCCCCCGGGGGGAGAAACCAAUCGCUUCGUUCUUUCAGAUUCACAUAGCCUUACACCAACACAGUACAUUCCUUCUUAUCGCACACUUCAGCUCACUUCAUUGGCUCCUUGGCAAAGGAGAUCAUUAAGAGAGAGAGAGAGACCUGCGGAAUACCAAAUGUUGGCACGGCAUAAGAAGUGCAUCCUUGUAACCAACCUGCCACAUACGCAGCGCAAACGCAGCAUGGACAGAAGCGAUAACCAGAGAUAAACAGAACAGAAUUGAACUCAUUCCAAGUCAGCAACCCUUUCAGUGGCUUCCAAGGCAGAACGGCAUAGUACUUUAGCGACACCAUAAAACCUGAAUCGAAAUGAUAGUGGAAACAGCAAUAGCGAAUUAAUUUAAGACCCUUUAUUCAAAAUGAAUCAUUUAUCAGAGGCGUAAUGUCCUGUUAUGUCAUUACAUGGUUGUUUUUUUUUCAUAUUUGAACUAUUCAGACCAUUCUGUUUUGUCCAUUUCAGGUAUAAACCAUACAGAAGCUAUGGAUACACACACCAACAUACACACACACACACCUUGGGUAUGGAUAAUACCUGACAAAAUUAUAGUACCCAUAGAUAUUUACUCACAAGAUAUUCUGUACUUUCCUUUCAAAGAGGUUCUCGUUGGAAACAGGAGGUCCUGGUGCCGUCCACCUUGCAGUGCUAGCUAGUACAUCAAUGUUCUAGCAUUGAUCGACACCAUGAAUAAUCACAGUGAGCCAGUAAAUUAAACCACUGACCUUUUAUUUUGACACUGAGUACACUUUCAGUGUUAA